rnacentral:rRNA from 1 species
AGAUUGAACGCUGGCGGCAUGCCUUACACAUGCAAGUCGAACGGCAGCGCGGGAGCAAUCCUGGCGGCGAGUGGCGAACGGGUGAGUAACACAUCGGAACGUGCCCAAUCGUGGGGGAUAACUACGCGAAAGCGUAGCUAAUACCGCAUAAGAUCUACGGAUGAAAGCAGGGGAUCGCAAGACCUUGCGCGAAUGGAGCGGCUGAUGGCAGAUUAGGUAGUUGGUAGGGUAAAAGCCUACCAAGCCUGCGAUCUGUAGCUGGUCUGAGAGGACGACCAGCCACACUGGGACUGAGACACGGCCCAGACCCCUACGGGAGGCAGCAGUGGGGAAUUUUCCGCAAUGGGCGAAAGCCUGACGGAGCAAUGCCGCGUGGAGGUAGAAGGCCCACGGGUCGUAAACUCCUUUUCUCAGAGAAGAAGCAAUGACGGUAUCUGAGGAAUAAGCAUCGGCUAACUCUGUGCCAGCAGCCG